AAAUUAUAGAAAGCUACCCAUGUCCUCCCUAUUUGUGCUGACUAUUCAGUGCUGCUGAUUGUAGUGUUUGGAGCAGUACCUCUGUUUUGGGUCUGACUCAUUAAAAGCAGUCACAUUCCUUGUAAGCACUACUGUAUUUUGCUGCAAGGACCAGCACCACAGCAAUUCACAGGAAUGCCACCGGUAAAGACUCUGUCUCUGGAGGCUAAGAGCACAAGAGAAAUGUUUAAAAAACAAAUUGCAUUUAAACCAGCUUUUAACCUGGAUUUGCAUUUAAACCCGCUUUUAACCUGGAAUGCAUUAAUCCUGAAUGUUGUUAAUGUAUAGAAAGUGAGAAAACCAUUUUAAAUCAAGUUUAUGUUGAGUGGUGUAGGGUCCCCCUUCCCCCAAUCUGAUUUUACAUACCUGGGAAACCCAAUAGCAGUUUGCAGGAAAAUACCUGAUUUGUUUUGACCAUGAUUUUUUUUUAAAAAAAUUUUUAAUUAUUGUCACUUCAGAAUGAAAUCAACGGGACAUUGAUUAUAUCCACUUUUCUUUCUUUCUUUAAAAAAGUUUUUUCAGAUAGUUUAAACAAGAAACAUACAUCUGUUUUUAACCCCAAGAGAUGGUGCAAUUUCCUCUGCAGUUAGCAGUUUCACUACCUUGGGGUAAAUAUGCAAUUGCUUUUUGAGGGAGGGAAAAGUUACAAAAAUUCAAGACUCUUGCAAUGGCUUCUGGCCGCAAGAAUUAAUUUUUAAAGAGUGAGCAAACUUCUGGAAUACUAGCUUUAUAACUAAACUUGGAGGACCUUAAUUGUAGCCUGGACAAUUGGUACAAUCUAUAGCAGGAACUUCUCCUGCACAAGCACUGAUCAGUUGAGCUUGCACAGAAGGUGUCUCCGUUGUGCCCUUUCCGCUACUGCGUAAACCAAAGUGCCUGUUAUAAAUGUAGCACUGUUUAUGCCAAGUUCUAAAAACAAAUUCAUUUUUAUUUGUUGGGCUGUACUUCAACAUGACACAUUUAUCCUUUUGUUUGUGUGUCUGUGUGGUUGUGUGGAUAUACACACACAUAACACACGCUACCACCCUUCAUGUAAUAUCAGUGUUGUGCUUUUUUGUUUUAAUUUUGCUUAAGGCUUUACUAGGCAGACUUCUGCAACUUCCCUGGGAUUUUAGUCUCCACGUACCAUAACUGGGUUCUAUGGGAAAAGCGAACCCUAACUUAAGGAAUGGUUGAUAUGGUUCCUAUGUAUUCUUAACUGACACAAUGUGCAUCUUCCGAGUGAUGCGACCACUUGUUAGUGGACUCCAACAAAGAGUGGGAGCUGCUGCAAUCUAAGCUCUUGUUCUACUGAGACUUUUCUGACAGAUUAGAAAACAGAAGAUGGGAAUCAAAGUGUCUGGGCCCCACUAUUCUGGUGUGGGCCAAAUGGCCUUCAGUAACAGAGAGCAUGGCAUGAUGGCACUUCAUUAUGCAGCAAUUCCUAAAUGGUUAUUUUUGUUCCAAUAACAAGAAAACCAUGGAAGGACGGGGGAGAGUCUGCUUUUGUGUUUGUGUGUGUAACACAGCCUUUUGGAUCAGAGGUUGAUAUUGGCAGGUGGGUUCCACAUCAGAAGCAAUUAUUUUGAAGAGUCCCUUCCAAGUCUAGAAGUGAUUGCCUUAUGAAUCUGUAGAGUCUUGAGUGUGAGGACUUUCUUUUUAGUUGAAAUGUUUUGAGGGGUGGUAGACACCCACCACUACUAUGUAAUGCUGGAAAACAUUUUCAGCCCAUUAUUGCAGGGCAAGUUGUUAUCAGCCUUCCCCAGUAUGUUGCCAUUUUCUGGGUCCUUUUCAGUACUUCAAUCCUUUUCAAUACAUGCAGACCUUCUGCAUGAAAGAGACUUGGGGUGAUAAAUAAUGGAUGCAAAAAUAGUUUUUUAUAUAAUGUGAGAAGUCCCCUGGGUUUGCUCCCGAAAGAAUAGAGGGAGCGCUCAUGAAAAUCAAGACCCAAAACUAAAUGCUUAAGAAGAAAUGCACUUUCUUUCUUUGGAAAUCAGAAACUGUAUGCAGGAAAAUACUCCAUCCGCAGUUUCAUGAUGGUUCUGAGAGGAAUUAUGAGGAAGCAUGGUUACCAUUAGUAAAUGAAAGAUUGAAUGUCGUCAGACUGGCUUUCCAUGAUUUUUGUUUCAAUCCUGUGCCUUAAAAAAGGAAAGCUUAACCAUUUGUGUUUAAGCCCGAGCUUUUGUAUUCUGUAUUUACCAGUCUUCUUUCUGUCACGUGCUGUUGAAACUGUUCAGUGCAGUGUUUUUGCUGGUGAGGAAAGCAGCACUUCACAUUUGGAGCUACUGUAAUCCAGACACCAAGUUGGUGUGUUAUCUGGGUCUUUGUGUUUUGAACCCUUUCUUUAGCAAACCUGCAGCAGCUGGUGAAAGGAAGAGAUUACCUUUUUUUGCUCAAAUAAUUCUGCAGUUGCAUGUAUUUAUUCAAUAAACUCUUCAUAUGAAAA